GGGGAAUAUUGCACAAUGGGCGCAAGCCUGAUGCAGCAACGCCGCGUGGGGGAUGACGGCCUUCGGGUUGUAAACCUCUUUUAGUAGGGAAGAAGCGAAAGUGACGGUACCUGCAGAAAAAGCACCGGCUAACUACGUGCCAGCAGCCGCGGUAAUACGUAGGGUGCAAGCGUUGUCCGGAAUUAUUGGGCGUAAAGAGCUCGUAGGCGGUUUGUCGCGUCUGCUGUGAAAUCCCGAGGCUCAACCUCGGGCCUGCAGUGGGUACGGGCAGACUAGAGUGCGGUAGGGGAGAUUGGAAUUCCUGGUGUAGCGGUGGAAUGCGCAGAUAUCAGGAGGAACACCGAUGGCGAAGGCAGAUCUCUGGGCCGCUACUGACGCUGAGGAGCGAAAGCAUGGGGAGCGAAC
rnacentral:rRNA from 1 species